rnacentral:rRNA from 1 species
AUUGAACGCUGGCGGCAGGCCUAACACAUGCAAGUCGAGCGGAUGAAGGGAGCUUGCUCCUGGAUUCAGCGGCGGACGGGUGAGUAAUGCCUAGGAAUCUGCCUGGUAGUGGGGGAUAACGUCCGGAAACGGGCGCUAAUACCGCAUACGUCCUGAGGGAGAAAGUGGGGGAUCUUCGGACCUCACGCUAUCAGAUGAGCCUAGGUCGGAUUAGCUAGUUGGUGGGGUAAAAGCCUACCAAGGCGACGAUCCGUAACUGGUCUGAGAGGAUGAUCAGUCACACUGGAACUGAGACACGGUCCAGACUCCUACGGGAGGCAGCAGUGGGGAAUAUUGGACAAAGGGCGAAAGCCUGAUCCAGCCAUGCCGCGUGUGUGAAGAAGGUCUUCGGAUUGUAAAGCACUUUAAGUUGGGAGGAAGGGCAGUAAGUUAAUACCUUGCUGUUUUGACGUUACCAACAGAAUAAGCACCGGCUAACUUCGUG